rnacentral:lncRNA from 14 species
AGGCAAAGAUGCCAAAAGAGACUGGGAUGAAGAAAAUACAUUGCUGUAAUAUGAAGUGACCUGUCUGGCAUGAUGUACCAUCCCAACUGGCCAAGGAGAAGGUUGCCAGGUCAUCGUAGCAGACUAAGAACUGAUUUGAAGCCUCAGAGGAGGUCAUACUGGGGCAACAAAACCUACAAGAAGAGCAUAAUUUUUCUUGAGCUGGAAGCUUUUAUUUCACUACAGCUGAAGCUUGUCAGUGGAACCAGUGGGUGCCAGGAAAGUGACAAGCCCAGAAGAGACCAAGGCUGUAGAUUCACAUCCUGGACCUGGCUCAGGAUAAGACCACUGCAAUACCUCAUGGCACCUUUCACAAUGUUCUGGAUCCUUGGG